UCACUCAGGCUGCAUGUUUUUCAAAGUGGGUUCCAUAGAACCCCUCUUCAUGCACAGCUCAUUAUUUAGGAUAAGCAGCUCUCCACUCCAGAGACUACAUGGGCCCCUAGACAGCCAGCUGGAGGCACCUCUCUGCUUCAGAAGAACCCAGCACCUUGUUAACGAGGUACACGAGGUUGACGACACCAUCCAGACCCUGCAGCAGCGCCUGAGGGAUGCAGAGGACACCCUGCAGUCGCUGGUCCACAUCAAAGCCACCCUCGAGUAUGACCUGGCUGUCAAAGCCAAUUCCCUGUACAUCGACCAGGAAAAAUGCAUGAGCAUGCGCAAGAGCUACCCCAACACCCUCCGGCUGGUCGGCUUCUGCUAGGGACCCCACCGGCUGUGGUUUUGAUACCCCUAAGUUAAGGCUGAGCCAGAGCACUGUCUCAGCAUUUGAACCGAAUGCUAAUAUAGUCACUUAUUAAAGGAUUAUGCUGAUGGAAAUGUACCAAC
rnacentral:sRNA from 1 species